rnacentral:rRNA from 1 species
CAGCAGCCGCCGCGGGAAUACAGAGGGUGCGAGCGUUAAUCGGAUUUACUGGGCGUAAAGCGUGCGUAGGCGGCUUCUUAAGUCGGAUGUGAAAUCCCUGAGCUUAACUUAGGAAUUGCAUUCGAUACUGGGAAGCUAGAGUAUGGGAGAGGAUGGUAGAAUUCCAGGUGUAGCGGUGAAAUGCGUAGAGAUCUGGAGGAAUACCGAUGGCGAAGGCAGCCAUCUGGCCUAAUACUGACGCUGAGGUACGAAAGCAUGGGGAGCAAACAGGAUUAGAUACCCGUGUAGUCCCUGUCUCUUAUAC